rnacentral:rRNA from 1 species
AUACGGAGGGAGCAAGCGUUAUUCGGAAUCACUGGGUGUAAAGGACGCGUAGGCGGGUUUGUAAGUCAGGUGUGAAAUCCUACAGCUCAACUGUAGAACUGCACUUGAAACUACGGACCUAGAGUAUGGAAGGGGCAGAUGGAAUUAGUGGUGUAGGGGUAAAAUCCGUAGAUAUCACUAGGAAUACCGAAAGCGAAGGCGAUCUGCUGGGACAUUACUGACGCUGAGGCGUGAAAGCGUGGGGAGCAAACAGGAUUAGAAACCCCAGUAGUCC